rnacentral:rRNA from 1 species
UACGGGAGGCAGCAGUGGGGAAUAUUGCACAAUGGGCGAAAGCCUGAUGCAGCUAUGCCGCGUGUAUGAAGAAGGCCUUAGGGUUGUAAAGUACUUUUCAUCGGGGAGGAAAAAACAAAACUAAUAAUUUUAUUUCUUGACGUUACCCGAAAAAGAAGCACCGGCUAACUCCGUGCCAGCAGCCGCGGUAAUACGGAGGGUGCUAGCGUUAAUCAGAAUUACUGGGCGUAAAGAGCACGUAGGUGGUUUUUUUAAAGUCAGAUGUGAAUCCCUGGGCUUAACCUAGGAACUGCAUUUUGAAACUGAAAUACUAGAGUAUCGUAGAGGGAGGUAGAAUUCUAGGUGUAGCGGUGAAAUGCGUAGAUAUCUGGAGGAAUACCUGUGGCGAAAGCGGCCUCCUAAACGAAUACUGACACUGAGGUGCGAAAGCGUGGGGAGCAAACGAGGAUUAGAUACC